rnacentral:rRNA from 1 species
UACAUGGGGUGCAAACGUUGCUCGGAAUUAUUGGGCGUAAAGCGCACGUAGGCGGUUCGUUAAGUCGGAUGUGAAAGCCCUCGGCUCAACUGAGGAAGUGCACCCGAAACUGGCGAGCUUGAGUACGAAAGAGGAUCGCGGAAUUCCCGGUGUAGAGGUGAAAUGCGUAGAUAUCGAAAGGAACACCAGUGGCGAAGGCGGCUUACUGGUCCGGUUCUGACGCUGAGGCGCGAAAGCGUGGGGAGCAAACAGG